AAAAAAAAAAAAAAAAAACAAGAUUAUCUAAAAAAUAAAAAAAUUAUCUAUAAAAAAAAAAAUACAUAAUUUUUUUAUUUUAAAACAUAAUUUCAAUUAAAAAAAAAAAUUUAAAUAUAAUUUAUAUAUAUAUUAAUAUAUAUAAAAUAUAUAAAAUAUAAAAUAUAUAAAUACUAAUUUCCAUUUUAAUAAUCUAUAUAAUCUAAUAAAUAGAUCUAUUAGAUUAAGUAAAUAGAUUAAGUAAAAUUACAAAGAAUCCCACGAUUUAGUCUAUUAUUUUUUUUUUAUUCAUAAAGCACAUGUAUAUUUUUUUUAAUCAUUUCAUUCGCGAGGAGCUGGAUGAGAAGAAACUCUCAUGUCCGGUUCUGUAGUAGAGAUGGAAUUGAGAAACAACCAUCAACUAUAACCCCAAAAGAACCCGAUUCCGUAAACAACAUAGAGGAAGAAUGAAAGGAAUAGCUUUUCGAGGUAAUCGUAUUUGUUUCGGCAGAUAUGCUCUUCAGGCACUUGAACCCGCUUGGAUUACAUCUAGACAAAUAGAAGCGGGGCGACGAGCAAUGACACGAAAUGCACGCCGCGGUGGAAAAAUAUGGGUACGCAUAUUUCCCGACAAACCGGUUACUUUAAGACCUACGGAAACACGUAUGGGUUCGGGGAAAGGAUCUCCCGAAUAUUGGGUAGCUGUCGUUAAACCAGGUAGAAUACUUUAUGAAAUGGGCGGAGUAGCAGAAAAUAUAGCGAGAAAAGCUAUUUCAAUAGCAGCAUCAAAAAUGCCUAUACGAACUCAAUUCAUUAUUUCGGGAUAGGAAUAUAGAACCAAAGGAAAAAGACCUUUUGGAUGCAAAAAAAAAUCACAAGUUC
rnacentral:misc_RNA from 1 species